CCCGUACCGCAAACCGACACAGGUAGUCAAGAUGAGAAUUCUAAGGUGAGCGAGCGAACUCUCGUUAAGGAACUCGGCAAAAUGACCCCGUAACUUCGGGAGAAGGGGUGCUCUUUAGGGUUAACGCCCAGAAGAGCCGCAGUGAAUAGGCCCAAGCGACUGUUUAUCAAAAACACAGGUCUCUGCUAAACCGUAAGGUGAUGUAUAGGGGCUGACGCCUGCCCGGUGCUGGAAGGUUAAGAGGAGUGGUUAGCUUCUGCGAAGCUACGAAUCGAAGCCCCAGUAAACGGCGGCCGUAACUAUAACGGUCCUAAGGUAGCGAAAUUCCUUGUCGGGUAAGUUCCGACCCGCACGAAAGGCGUAACGAUUUGGGCACUGUCUCAACGAGAGACUCGGUGAAAUCAUAGUACCUGUGAAGAUGCAGGUUACCCGCGACAGGACGGAAAGACCCCGUGGAGCUUUACUGUAGCCUGAUAUUGAAAUUCGGCACAGCUUGUACAGGAUAGGUAGGAGCCUUUGAAACGUGAGCGCUAGCUUACGUGGAGGCGCUGGUGGGAUACUACCCUAGCUGUGUUGGCUUUCUAACCCGCACCACUUA
rnacentral:rRNA from 1 species